CCUACGGGAGGCAGCAGUGAGGAAUAUUGGUCAAUGGGCGGGAGCCUGAACCAGCCAAGUCGCGUGAGGGAAGACGGUCCUAUGGAUUGUAAACCUCUUUAGGCGGGGAGCAAUGCCGGGCACGCGUGCCCGGAGGGAGAGUACCCGCAGAAUAAGCAUCGGUUAACUCCGUGCCAGCAGCCGCGGUAUUACGGAGGAUGCGAGCGUUAUCCGGAUUUAUUGGGUUUAAAGGUUGCGUAGGCGGAUUUUUAAGUCAGCGGGAAAAUGUACGGGGUCAACUCGGGCCGGCCGUUGAAACUGGGGAUCUUGAGUGUGCGAGAAGUAUGCGGAAUGCGUGGUGUAGCGGUGAAAUGCAUAGAUAUCACGCAGAACUCCGAUUGCGAAGGCAGCAUACCGGCGCCCGACUGACGCUGAGGCACGAAAGCGUGGGGAUCGAACAGGAUUAGAUACCCGGGUAGUC
rnacentral:rRNA from 1 species